AGUACCGUGAUUGCAAUGGAAGAGUAUAAAAGUGUGUCUAGAUAUGGGUUUAAAGCAUAUGUCAACUCUAUAUCUCCUGUAGUGGUUCACACAGAUCUAGACAAAUAUUUGCUAGAUCCAAUGGAAGAAAUUUCACCUACUGUAGAGUUCAACAUAUUAUCUUGGUGGAAGGCAAAUGAAAGCAAAUAUAAAAUUCUAGCAAUGAUGGCUCGAGAUGUGUUAGCUAUUCCUGUAUCUACAGUUGCUUCAGAAUCUGCAUUCAGUACAUCGGGAAGAAUUAUUAAUGAUUAUCGAUGUUCAACUACUCCCGAAAAUGUAGAGUCAUUAAUCUGCACACAAAGCUGGAUUCGUGAUGCAAGCAACUUGUGUAAAAGUUCUCAUGAUGCAGAGCACCAUUAUGACGAGGAAUGUUAAUCGAGUGCAUGCUUAUUAUGGUGGACAUUUCAAGCUACAACCAUGAAUUCUCUACUGACGACUGACGUUAUCAUUUCUUUGCAUUUUUUUGUUGCUCUCAGAUAUGGGUGUGACAUCUAUGUAUAAUAUCUUGUGCAAAGUCUUGAAGUUC